rnacentral:rRNA from 1 species
AUUGAACGCUGGCGGCAUGCCUUACACAUGCAAGUCGAACGGUAACGGGCCUUCGGGUGCCGACGAGUGGCGAACGGGUGAGUAAUACAUCGGAACGUGCCCGAUCGUGGGGGAUAACGAGGCGAAAGCUUUGCUAAUACCGCAUACGAUCUACGGAUGAAAGCAGGGGACCGCAAGGCCUUGCGCGGACGGAGCGGCCGAUGGCAGAUUAGGUAGUUGGGGGGGUAAAAGCUUACCAAGCCGACGAUCUGUAGCUGGUCUGAGAGGAUGAUCAGCCACGCUGGGACUGAGACACGGCCCAGACUCCUACGGGAGGCAGCAGUGGGGAAUUUUGGACAAUGGGCGCAAGCCUGAUCCAGCCAUGCCGCGUGCAGGAUGAAGGCCUUCGGGUUGUAAACUGCUUUUGUACGGAACGAAAAGCCUUCUUCUAAUACAGGAGGGUCAUGACGGUACCGUAAGAAUAAGCACCGGCUAACUACGUGCCAGCAGCCGCCGCCG